AGCGCAGGCGGUUCCUUAAGUCUGAUGUGAAAGCCCACGGCUCAACCGUGGAAGGUCAUUGGAAACUGGGGAACUUGAGUGCAGAAGAGGAGAGUGGAAUUCCAUGUGUAGCGGUGAAAUGCGUAGAUAUAUGGAGGAACACCAGUGGCGAAGGCGACUCUCUGGUCUGUAACUGACGCUGAGGCUGAAAGCGUGGGGGAGCAAACA
rnacentral:rRNA from 1 species